AGUGGGGAGAGGGGGGGCGAACACGCCCCUCUGUCCCGCCCAUUGGUUCGCCGGGGGAGCUUAAGGUCCAGGGGCUCGUCCACGGACAGCAUGACCACAACCCCGCUGACCUCCCACCUGCACAAACAUCCAAUCACAGAGGGUCAGAGCUGGGCCAGUGGGGGCCACUGUAGGAUUGCUUGCUUUUCAUAUAAACACAGAGGAAGUGCUGCGUUCUGCAAACCACAGGAGAUUCUCACACCUGAAAUAUUUCCCACAGGAAAAAGUCUCAAAUUCCACAAUUCCACUGGGAAUGUCUUCAAUCCAAUCCAGAUGGUCACCCUCACUUCCAGCACAGCUUCACUCUACACCGUUAGCCAGUGACUGGGCCGAGCACCAUGUCACGUCACCCGCUGCCCCAGCUCACCCCAAACCCCUACAGUGUGCACCUUCAGACACCAUGGACUUUUAAGACCCACCAGACCAGCAACCCCUACCCCAGCCCGCAGGCCUUAAAGUCCAGCUGCACUCACUCAGUCCACCUCCUCCCUCUGAACACACUGACCUCUGGACCCAGCCUGAGGGUUGUGAGCACGAUGGUUCAUCUAGCUGUCAUUUUGAGUUCUUCCACCACAGGACUGAACCAUCGUCACCGUGUUGUUACAUGCAUGCACAACCAAAACCCCUAGAUGAACCCUGUUUAUCAGAGCAAUCAUGUAAUUGCCCAAAUCUCCUAAAUAAAAACACUUUUUAAAGGCA